ACUGAAGAAAGAACAAUUUGUAACUGAAUCUAACAUAAUCCUUUUGCAUUGCUUGGCUGACAUUCCCCUCCAUAAACUACAGGUCAUUAAAUUAACAAUUUUGCUCAAGAAAUGCAGCCCCUCCAUUAGAAGUAUUCCUCCAGAAGAACAACGUUAGGGACCACUUUGUUUUCUCAAAGCUAAAAAUUUCAUAUAGGACCAAGGCAAGUUUGCCAAGUAAAAAUCUGGGGAAUCUGAGGAACAAGAAUAAUCACUCAUUGCACCAAAAUUAGUCAGCAAAAUAACUAAUACAACAACCAAAGUGUUCAUUCCACCUUAGGAAUU
rnacentral:misc_RNA from 1 species